rnacentral:rRNA from 1 species
GACGAACGCUGGCGGCGUGCCUAACACAUGCAAGUCGAACGGUCAGGAUGCACCUUGCUGGGGUACACCAGUGUCUGUGAGUUGAGAAACGCUGAGGUGACCUGCCCUGCCUGCCUGGUAACCCGGGAAAACUGGGGCUAACAACGGGUAAGACCGCACCGUAACAUUGUGGUGGAAAGUUAUGUUUAAAAGGUGCAAGAGCAUCACUACCACAUGGACCUGCGUUGUAUUAGCUAGUUGGUGAGGUAACGGCUCACCAAGGCAACGAUGCAUAACCGACCUGAGAGGGUGAUCGGCCACACUGGGACUGAGACACGGCCCAGACUCCUACGGGAGGCAGCAGUAGGGAAUCUUCGGCAAUGGGGGGAACCCUGACCGAGCAACGCCUCGUGAGUGAAGAAGGUUUUCGGAUCGUAAAGCUCUGUUGUUAAGGAAGAACGUGUGUGAGAGUGGAAAGUUCACACAGUGACGGUACUUAACCAGAAAGGGACGGCUAACUACUUGCCAGCAGCCGCGGUAAUACAUAGGUCCCGAGCGUUGUCCGGAUUUAUUGGGCGUAAAGCGAGCGCACGCGGUUAGAUAAGUCUGAAGUGAAAGGCAGUGGCUCAACCAUUGUAGGCUUUGGAAACUGUUUAACUUGAGUGCAGAGGGGGAGAGUGGAAUUCCAUGUGUAGCGGUGAAAUGCGUAGAUAUAUGGAGGAACACCGGUGGCGAAAACGGCUCUCUGGUCUGUAACUGACGCUCACGCUCAAAACAUGGGAGCGAACAAG